CUACAGGCUUAACGCAUGCAAGUCGAGGGGCAGCAUGGUCUUAGCUUGCUAAGGCUGAUGGCGACCGGCGCACGGGUGAGUAACACGUAUCCAACCUGCCGUCUACUCUUGGCCAGCCUUCUGAAAGGAAGAUUAAUCCAGGAUGGGAUCAUGAGUUCACAUGUCCGCAUGAUUAAAGGUAUUUUCCGGUAGACGAUGGGGAUGCGUUCCAUUAGAUAGUAGGCGGGGUAACGGCCCACCUAGUCAACGAUGGAUAGGGGUUCUGAGAGGAAGGUCCCCCACAUUGGAACUGAGACACGGUCCAAACUCCUACGGGAGGCAGCAGUGAGGAAUAUUGGUCAAUGGGCGAUGGCCUGAACCAGCCAAGUAGCGUGAAGGAUGACUGCCCUAUGGGUUGUAAACUUCUUUUAUAAAGGAAUAAAGUCGGGUAUGCAUACCCGUUUGCAUGUACUUUAUGAAUAAGGAUCGGCUAACUCCGUGCCAGCAGCCGCGGUAAUACGGAGGAUCCGAGCGUUAUCCGGAUUUAUUGGGUUUAAAGGGAGCGUAGAUGGAUGUUUAAGUCAGUUGUGAAAGUUUGCGGCUCAACCGUAAAAUUGCAGUUGAUACUGGAUGUCUUGAGUGCAGUUGAGGCAGGCGGAAUUCGUGGUGUAGCGGUGAAAUGCUUAGAUAUCACGAAGAACUCCGAUUGCGAAGGCAGCCUGCUAAGCUGCAACUGACAUUGAGGCUCGAAAGUGUGGGUAUCAAACAG
rnacentral:rRNA from 1 species